rnacentral:rRNA from 1 species
GACGAACGCUGGCGGCGUGCCUAAUACAUGCAAGUAGAACGCUGAAGCUUGGUGCUUGCACCGAGCGGAUGAGUUGCGAACGGGUGAGUAACGCGUAGGUAACCUGCCUGGUAGCGGGGGAUAACUAUUGGAAACGAUAGCUAAUACCGCAUAAGAGUAGAUGUUGCAUGACAUUUGCUUAAAAGGUGCAAUUGCAUCACUACCAGAUGGACCUGCGUUGUAUUAGCUAGUUGGUGAGGUAACGGCUCACCAAGGCAACGAUACAUAGCCGACCUGAGAGGGUGAUCGGCCACACUGGGACUGAGACACGGCCCAGACUCCUACGGGAGGCAGCAGUAGGGAAUCUUCGGCAAUGGACGGAAGUCUGACCGAGCAACGCCGCGUGAGUGAAGAAGGUUUUCGGAUCGUAAAGCUCUGUUGUAAGAGAAGAACGAGUGUGAGAGUGGAAAGUUCACACUGUGACAGUAUCUUACCAGAAAGGGACGGCUAACUACGUG